GACUCCGAGGAAGCAGUGUGUUGCAGAUAGAGGGACCAGCAAGGGUACAGUGCAGAGAGCUGGUGGGUGUGUAAGGGACACUUAGGAGACUUGAGGAGUGUCGGAGGAGGCAGUCACCGAAGUUUGUACCCAUGUUCUCCUGGCAGUGCGUGGGGACAAGGGAGGGCAGAGAGACAGACAGGAGAUGAACACAAAUGUGUUGAUGGUGGCUUAGACUCAGCCAGCAACACAGGACACGUGACGAGGGCUGGCGAGGGGCCACACUCUGUCUUCCUUUCUGCUUUCCUUUCACACCAUGGGCCCCAGGCUGUGGGUCAGCAGACUUUCCCUGGGACUACCAAGGAGCCUGCAGCCUCUCUAGGGUCAGCCCUGGACCCCGUCCCUGGAACAGUUGCUGUCUCCCCAAUCCCUAAGCCCACUUAGACCCCUGCCUGCCACUGGGCCACUACUGCCUGAGGAAGCAGCCCAUAGCAGGUGUCAACUAUCUGAGGCUCUGAAAUGAUGAGAAGACCGUGGCCACAAUGUCCAAGUGGAAAAGGGAAGCUUGGGGCCAAACCUCACCAGAAACCCCGGUGUCCCAUCUCUGCAAAUGCCUUGGAAGC
rnacentral:lncRNA from 1 species